AAUCCGCGAUAGAUGUAAUGUCCUGGAAUGGUAUUACGUCUAAAGGUAUUUCAUACAUGUUUGAAAUAUGCCUAAGGAUGGGGCUGCGGCCGAUCAGGCUGUUGGUGAGGUAAUGGCUCACCAAACCUUUGACCGGUACGGGCCAUGAGAGUGGUAGCCCGGAGAUGGACACUGAGACAAGGGUCCAGGCCCUAAGGGGCGCAGCAACCGCGAAACCUCCACAAUGCACUCACGUGCGAUGGGGCUAUCUCGAGUGCCACCUGAUGAAGGUGGCUUUUCCUGGGUCUUCAAAGCCUUGGGAAUAAGAGGGGGGCAAGACUGGUGUCAGCCGCCGCGGUAACACCAGCCCCUCGAGUGGUGGGGAUGAUUAUUUGGCCUAAAGCGUCCGUAGCCGGCCGAGCAAGUCUUCCGUUAAAUCCAGCGCCUCAAGCGUUGGACUGCGGGAAAUACUGCCUGGCUAGAGAGUGGGAGAGGUCAGCGGUAUUCUGGGGUAGGGGCGAAAUCCUUUGAUCCCCGGAGGACCACCAGUGGCGAAGGCUGCUGACUAGAACACGUCUGACGGUCAGGGACGAAAGCUGGGGUAGCGAACCGGAUUAGAUACCCGGGUAGUCCCAGCCGUAAACGAUGCAUGCUAGGUGUUGGGUUGGCCACGAGCCACCCCAGUGCCGCAGGGAAGCCGUUAAGCAUGCCGCCUGGGAAGUACGAUCGCAAGAUUGAAACUUAAAGGAAUUGGCGGGGGAGCACCACCAGGCGUGAAGCCUGCGGUUUAAUUGGAGUCAACGCCGGA
rnacentral:rRNA from 1 species